rnacentral:sRNA from 1 species
AAAAACAACAAAAAAA